rnacentral:rRNA from 1 species
CGCGUGAGGGAUGACGGCCUUCGGGUUGUAAACCUCUUUCAGCAGGGACGAAGCGUAAGUGACGGUACCUGCAUAAGAAGCACCGGCCAACUACGUGCCAGCAGCCGCGGUAAGACGUAGGGUGCGAGCGUUGUCCGGAUUUAUUGGGCGUAAAGAGCUCGUAGGCGGCUUGUCGCGUCGACCGUGAAAACUUGGGGCUCAACCCCAAGCCUGCGGUCGAUACGGGCAGGCUAGAGUUCGGUAGGGGAGACUGGAAUUCCUGGUGUAGCGGUGAAAUGCGCAGAUAUCAAGAGGAACACCGGUGGCGAAGGCGGAUCUCUGGGCCGAUACUGACGCUGAGGAGCGAAAGCGUGGGGAGCGAACAGGAUUAGAUACCCUGGUAGUCCACGCUGUAAACGUUGGGCGCUAGGUGUGGGGGGCCUCUCCGGUUCUCUGUGCCGCAUCUAACGCAUUAAGCGCCCCGCCUGGGGAGUACGGCCGCAAGGCUAAAACUCAGAGGAAUUGACGGGGGCCCGCACAAGCGGCGGAGCAUGCGGAUUAAUUCGAUGCAACGCGAAGAACCUUACCUGGGUUUGACAUGGCCGCAAAACUUGCAGAGAUGUAAAGUCCUUCGG